rnacentral:rRNA from 1 species
GACGAACGCUGGCGGCGUGCUUAACACAUGCAAGUCGAACGAAGUGGCGAACGGGUGAGUAACGUGUAAUCAACCUGCCCUUCAGGGGGGGACAACAGUGGGAAACGACUGCUAAUACCGCGUACUGAAGGGGGGGAUUGCGUCGGCUUGGCUAGUUGGGGGGGUAACGGCCAACCAAGGCGAAGAUCAGUAGCCGGGCUGGGAGGGUGAACGGCCACAUUGGGACUGGGACACGGCCCAGACUCCUACGGGAGGCAGCAGUGGGGAAUCUUCCGCAAUGGACGGAAGUCUGACGGAGCAACGCCGCGUGAGUGAAGACGGGCUUCGGGUUGUAAAGCUCUGUUAAGCGGGACGCGGUACCGGAAUAGAAAGCCACGGCUAACUACGUGCCAGCAGCCGCGGUAAUUC